GCGGGUGUAGUUCAAUGGUAGAAUUCGAGUUUUCCAAACUCGCUACGCGGGUCCGAUUCCCGCCACCCGCUCCA
rnacentral:tRNA from 1 species